rnacentral:snoRNA from 1 species
CUGCAGUCAAUUAAGCUGACUGGGUUCCUUGCUGAUGGGUGCCUAGUGUGCAGUGGCUGCGGCAGACAGCAAGCUCCUUGGUUGUGUACGCAGCCUGUUGCUUGUAUGGGCUGCCCUAAGGGACCUUGGAGACACUC